rnacentral:rRNA from 1 species
ACGAACGCUGGCGGCUGCUUAACACAUGCAAGUCGAACGGAGUGGCGAACGGGUGAGUAACGCGUGAGUAACCUGCCUAUGACAGGGGGAUAGCCUCGGGAAACCGGGAUUAAUACCGCAUAGUCAUAGAUGGGUUCGCGUCUGAUUAGCUAGUUGGUGAGAUACCAGCUCACCAAGGCGACGAUCAGUAGCCGGUCUGUGAGGAUGAACGGCCACAUGUGACCUGAGACACGGUCCCAACUCCUACGGGAGGCAGCAGUGGGGAAUAUUGCACAAUGGGGGAAACCCUGAUGCAUCGACGCCGCUUGAACGAAGAAGGUAUUCGUAGCGUAAUGUUCUGUCCUAUGGGAAGCAGUACCAUAGAAGAAAGCUCCGGCUAAAUACGUGCCAGCAGCCGCGGUAAUAC